UACGAACCGUGCGAACGUUGUUCGGAAUCACUGGGCUUAAAGGGCGCGUAGGCGGGUUGUCAAGUCAGGGGUGAAAGCCUCCAGCUCAACUGGAGAAGUGCCUUUGAUACUGAUGAUCUUGAGGGAGGUAGGGGCAUGUGGAACUUCCGGUGGAGCGGUGAAAUGCGUAGAUAUCGGAAGGAACGCCGGUGGCGAAAGCGACGUGCUGGACCUCUUCUGACGCUGAGGCGCGAAAGCUAGGGGAGCGAACGGG
rnacentral:rRNA from 1 species